rnacentral:lncRNA from 1 species
GCAGAUAUAUUCUCCUCCAGGCGCGCCUCUUCAAUCCAGCGAUCCACGGACUCCCGGAGGGAGUGGUCGCGAGCGUCCACCUCCAUAAAAAGACCCGUCACCUAGUAGGGGAGAACAACCGUCAAAAGAAAGAAAUAAAGAAGACCAAAAGAGAGAGAAAAAUAAUUUACCAUCAAAAGCAUCUCCCUGAUUGUAUUCCCGAGCUCUUCACGAGAUCGGGAUCGGAAGGACGCUUGCUCCUUGGUAGAACUGGCUAAAAAACCAGUAAGGGCAAGCAGGCAUGGAUCCGAGGCCUCUGUAGCUCCGCCGAACAUCUGUUCUCUAAGAAAUUCGGCGACGGCAUUGGCCGGAGAUUGAGAGGUGAUGUCUGCUACGUUCAGAGUGUCGUUGUCAGUAGAAGACAAUAGAGGUACAACAGGAACAUCUUUUCCUUUCCCAAUAGGAGGAAGGGCAGGAGAAGAUCCUUUGGAAGCCCUGGGCUUCUUCUGGGCAGGAGGAGGGGCAGAUGUUCCAUGAGGCGCUGGACGCUUGUCCCCGGUUUUCCCUACGGGGUCUCCAGACUCAGACCUGACCCCCACAGGGGCAGGGGCAUCCCUGGCAGGCGCCUCCAAGACGUCAUCCUCCACAAGGACGAUCUCUUUUCCCUUCCCAGGGGCCUCCUCAUCCUCGGUGAUGGGGGACUUAAAUUUUCCCCCUGACACCUCUUCAGAAGAAUGAGCAAGACCCAACUGUGCUUGUUCAACGACCUCGGUCUGCUCCACAAUGGCUAGAGAAACUUCCCUCACACCCUCUGAAGAAGCUUGAGCGGACUUAGGCUCUUCAGUAGGCUUAAUAGUCAAGGC